GAUGAACGCUGGCGGUAUGCCUAACACAUGCAAGUCGUACGAGAGUUUUUAACUCUAGUGGCGGACGGGUGAGUAACACGUAAGAAUUUGCCUUUAGGAGGGGGACAACAACUGGAAACGGUUGCUAAUACCCCAUAUGCUUUCGAGUGAAAUGGAUUUUUCCGCCUAAAGAGAAGCUUGCGGCUGAUUAGCUUGUUGGUGAGGUAAUGGCUCACCAAGGCGACGAUCAGUAUCUGGUUUGAGAGGAUGAUCAGACACACUGGAACUGAGACACGGUCCAGACUCCUACGGGAGGCAGCAGUGGGGAAUUUUCCGCAAUGGGCGAAAGCCUGACGGAGCAAUCUCGCGUGGGGGAUGACGGCCUAUGGGUUGUAAACCUCUUUUUUCAGGGAGGAACAAAAUGACGUGUACCUGAAGAAUAAGCAUCGGCUAACUCCGUG
rnacentral:rRNA from 1 species